UACGUAGGGGGCAAGCGUUGUCCGGAUUUAUUGGGCGUAAAGAGCGUGUAGGCGGCUUUACAGGUCCGUUGUGAAAACUCGAGGCUCAACCUCGAGACGCCGGUGGAAACCGUAAAGCUAGAGUCCGGAAGAGGAGAGUGGAAAUUCCUGGUGUAGCGGUGAAAUGCGCAGAUAUCAGGAGGAACACCCGUGGCGAAAGCGGCUCUCUGGGACGGUACUGACGCUGAGACGCGAAAGCGUGGGGAGCAAACAGG
rnacentral:rRNA from 1 species